rnacentral:rRNA from 1 species
UCGAGCAUCAUUCACAAUGGGGGAAACCCUGAUGGUGCGACGCCGCGUGGAGGAUAAGGUCUUCGGAUUGUAAACUCUUGUCAUGUGAGAGCAAGGCUCUAGCGUUAAUAGCGUUGGAGUUUGAUAGUAUCACAAGAGGAAGAGACGGCGAACUCUGUGCCAGCCGCCGAGGUAAUACGGAGGAUGCAAGAGUUAUCCGGAAUUUUUGGGCGUCAAGAGUCCGUAGGUGGUUGUUCAAGUCUGCUGUUC